AUUGAACGCUGGCGGCAUGCCUUACACAUGCAAGUCGAACGGCAGCACGGGAGCAAUCCUGGUGGCGAGUGGCGAACGGGUGAGUAAUAUAUCGGAACGUGCCCAGUCGUGGGGGAUAACGUAGCGAAAGCUACGCUAAUACCGCAUACGACCUAUGGAUGAAAGCGGGGGAUCGCAAGACCUCGCGCGAUUGGAGCGGCCGAUAUCAGAUUAGGUAGUUGGUGAGGUAAAGGCUCACCAAGCCGACGAUCUGUAGCUGGUCUGGGAGGACGACCAGCCACACUGGGACUGAGACACGGCCCAGACUCCUACGGGAGGCAGCAGUGGGGAAUUUUGGACAAUGGGCGCAAGCCUGAUCCAGCAAUGCCGCAUGCAGGAUGAAGGCCUUCGGGUUGUAAACUGCUUUUGUACGGAACGAAACGGCGAGCUCUAAUACAGUUUGCUAAUGACGGUACCGUAAGAAUAAGCACCGGCUAACUACGUGCCAGCCGCCGCGGUAA
rnacentral:rRNA from 1 species